AUCGGCCAAUGGAGGCAUCCCCCCGUUUAUUCCGUUCAAACGGGAACGGUGCUUCAUAGCUCCACUAGUGCAUCCUUUCCCUCUCCUAUAAAUACCGUACGAUCCCCUUCUCAACUCACCAUCCAAAUAAACAGUAAUGUUCUACAGAGAUGCAAGAAGCAGAUCUCUCAGUAGACUAGCUACGUAAUGGAGAUAGAGAGAGGGAGGGUAGAGAGAAAGAGGGGGAGAAGAUUGGCCGGCCUGUUUUCCGGAGGAGACUUCUUCAAUUCUUGUCUUUGUUUCUUGAUGUUGGGAGGAAGGGAGUGAGGUGGAGGCUGACAGAAGAGAGUGAGCACACAUGGUGCCUUUCUUGCAUGGUGAAUUAAUGGGAGAAGUUCAUGCUUGAAGCUAUGUGUGCUCAUUUCUCUCUCUGUCAGCCAUUAUAACUCUCUCUCUCUCUCUCACUCUCUGUGUGUGUGCGCGCGCGCGCGUGAACUUUUGGUGAUCUCUUUCUUUGAGCUACCUAAUUACAUACAUAUGUGAUCUGCAGAAGAGAGGUGGGUGCUGUGUGUGGAAGUUGACAGAAGAGAGUGAGCACCCAUGGUGUUUCCUUAGCAUCAAGGGGCAUGCCAGGGAGCUAUGCGUGCUCACUGCUCUAUCUGUCAGCCACUGAUCAGACCCCAUUUCUUGCAUGCAAUCACAUAUCCCAGGGUUUAUGCAGUUUCCAUGAUCGGCGGCAGAGGGAGGUGAGCUGGGCUUUGGAGGUCUGACAGAAGAGAGUGAGCACACGCGGUGGUUUCCUAGCAUGCGAGCGCCAUGCUGGGAGCUGCGCGUGCUCACCCUCUCUCUGUCAGCCAUUCACCAUCCCCAUCUCUCUUCUAUCUGCUGCCAAUCAAUCGACGAACAACCAAAGAGGGCACUGAGAUCCAUGUAAUAUAUGCAGGCAAACAGUAGGUCGGCGUUCUGAAUUUCAGAGACUGGGUUUCCUGGGUUUUUGAGAAGGUUUAGCCCUCAUAGCAGAUCGCUUCCAUUGAAGCUAGCUCACUUCUCUCUCUAGUUGUAAUGCGUAGAGGUCAUGUCUUCUCAAAGAACAUGUGUUAAUAGCUCUGCUGAGAUUGAAUGAAAGUAAUAUUUCCUUUGAA